UACAGGGGGUGCUAGCGUUGUUCGGAAUUGCUGGGCGUAAAGGGCGCGUAGGCGGUUCAACAAGUCUGUUGUGAAAUCCCGGGGCUUAACUCCGGACGUGCAGUGGAAACUGUUGGACUUGAGUGCAGUAGAGGUUGGUGGAAUUCCCAGUGUAGAGGUGAAAUUCGUAGAUAUUGGGAGGAACACCGGCGGCGAAGGCGGCCAACUGGACUGCAACUGACGCUGAGGCGCGAAAGCGUGGGGAUCAAACAGG
rnacentral:rRNA from 1 species